AGAAUUUUGCUUCCAGGAGAUAUCACUGACCACCAGGUCUGGUAACUGGCCACCUCUUGCCAAGUGUCAGGAAUAGCUUAAACUAGACUUGAACUAGUGAAACAGAAAGGAGAUUCUCCAGGAUCUGUAUGUUUCUACAUUACUACUGAUGUCAUCGCUUACGUCUGCUUAAAGUGGGCCGUGCAACAUCAUGAUGCAAUGCUCUAGAGGAUGCAGCGUCCCUGCCAGGGUUCAGACCACGAAGGACAGCUUAAAACAUACCAGCGUUCGACAAAUUCUGUGGAGGCAGGUUGCCGCAAACCCAUUUUUUCUGUGCCUGCUGUCAGGCUGGGUGAAGCUACUGGAUAAUUAUCCAGAUACGCUGGAAGGUGUGGAAAUUGGGGAGGGAAGGCUGGACCCAAGGCAAUGCUCUGUUUAAGGUCUAACUGGCUUCCUAAGGUAAGACCUGGGCUAGCUCUGGAGGUCAGAGUUAGAGCCCAGAAGAGCAAGCACUUCUCUCUGCCACUGUCUUCUCCUGACUCAGCUGAUAUCAUUGAAGUUUCCUGAAAACACAGGAAAGGCUAAAUCCCAAGUGGUUGCUGCAGAUGCUGAAGUACUUCCAGGUUUCAGCCUCAACAAAGACUGUCUUCACCUAUGAGCACAGAGAUUACAGAACAGAUGAGGAGGCAGGAAUGGGAUUCCCUUUAUCAGAAGUACAAAAGAUCCUGGGCCUUCUUCCUCUGUGACUUUUACUGAUCUCUCUGAAAGGGAGAUAGAGACUUCUUAGGCAGCUUCCUGAAUGCUGUCCUAAAUUGAAAGCACACCAGAAGUGUCUGGUGUCUGUCUGGUGUUUGUGAUAGCACAGAGUAGGGAGAAAGGUAGAGACUGAUACUUGUUUCUGUUUCAGUGGUUUUUAUAAAUAUCAUAAAAGCCUGAACCUUGCUGGGGAAGGAAGCAUUUAAAAAAAAAAAACCACACACACACAAUUCCUGCUUCUCAGGUAUGUCAGGCAACUGCUUAUUAUCAUACAUAGGAGUUCCCAUUCUUUAGGCUAAUGGCAACAUAGCAGGCUGAUUUUUCUACAGGCAAUUCAAGAAUUUACUUGUGCAAGAGUGUAACAGCCUGGCAUUUGCUAUGAGAUCAGGCAGCUGGCAAGGAAUUGUCCCCAAGUGAGUUAAAAUGAGCCGAGAAGUUAACUUGUGUACCUCUCUCUCACUUUUUAAUCACAGGUAUUGGUUGCAGAGCUAUAUUUGAGAGUCUUUCAAGCAAUGUUAUCCAUGCAUCUCCCCACUGCACAGCCAGUCUAUUCAUGGCAGAGAUUUUCUUCCAAGCAGUGUGCUAUAUUUAUUUUUUGGUGGGAGAGAGAAUUUUUUUCAGAAACUGGGAUCACAAAAUAGAAGACUCAGUGAACUUGCUUCCCUUGCGCCAGGAACCGUUUGUGAAACAUACGGGAGAUGUUACCUGUUCUGGGAGGAUCUAACCAGCAGUAAAUGGUGUUGGAGGUGUCCAACUAUGCAGAAAGACAGUACUGAAUUGGGCCUCCUGUGUUUUAUUCCUAAUUCUAGAAGGCAGUGAAGUCUAAUAGAGGGCAGCCAGGGACUGGACUGUGGCAGCUUGGCUCCCUUUCUUGGCUGGGCCACUAACAUGGCAUGUUACUGCCACCUUUCCCUAUAGCAUAGGGAUGGAAAUAUUAGUCUCCCUCGUUGGGAGGGUAUGGAGUUGAAUUAAAACAUACCUGCAAUUCUCUAUGCAUCUCGAGUCUGGUAAAGCAGGAUGCCAAAAUGUAAACUCCAAUGAAUGUCAGAUGGGAAGGCCUGUAUAAUUUACAUGGCAGCAACCUGGAGACUCAAAAGACAAUAAUAAUCCCCCAAUAGCUCUACAGUCAUUUUGCUUUCAGUUGGGAACUCCAUUCUUUUCUGGUAAGGAAAAUUGGAGGAUGCAUUACCUGCAAUUCCCGUAUCACGGGACUCUUCUUCAGCUACUAAUCUUUCAUUCCUCCCCCCAGCCCACUUGUAAAUGCAGAAAUUUGCAAAACGGAGAACUACCUGAGCAGUCUUGCCAAGCUGCCGUGAAAAUCUAACGGCCUAAGCAGAAAGCAAGUUUGCCUCUUCUUGUGCUGGCCAGGUAAAAAUAGAAAACAACAAAAAGGUAUUUUACUCACCCAUGAAAAGGAAAGCUACUUGCCCCAGACAAGAACUGUAUGAUGCUGCACAGUAUGGUCCAGAGUUCAUUUUAUGAAUGAUAAUUAAUAAGAACAUAGCAUAUCAUAAAAUACACUUUUGCAAGGUAUAUGAUAAGUCUUCUGACAAGCGUGCACAGAAAUGCUCCGCAGUGUCUCCACGCAUAGACCCACUUACCAUUUCACAUGACACAGUACAUACUAAGACCUGAUUCUGCCCUCACUUACCCCAUGGACAAGUUGGAAAAUGUCUGGAUCAAAGUCACUAGCUUUACAUGGUACAAAACCAGAAUGAGAAGAGACGAGCUCCCAGUUCCCCUCAGCAGCAAAGGGCCAGGGGAGGAAUGAUUUCAAGCAUGGAAAGGCUGACAUGUCCUAGUUCAAAAUGAACAGUAGUAAGUGCUGUUCCUUCAGCUGACAUCAAACUGUUCACUGAUCAAAGGCAGCUGUAACCAUGUAUUUUCUGUUAUUACUCAACUUCUUCCUGUACAGCACUUUAGAUCCUGAUACUUGCUCACCCCACAUAACUAGGUGCUGCCUUAACACAUCAUCUAGGUACCUAACUUCAUCCUCCACAAACAGUUGCCAAUUGUUUUUGCUUAUUUCUAGGACAGAUGCACAGCUUCCAUUUUGCUAUUUCCAGUGUCUAAAACCAGGCAGUACAGGGAAUGGCAAGGAGGCUUGGAAAAGAAGAAAAAAGCAGAAAGAAAAAUGGAAAGAAGAAUUAAAAUUGAUGUUUUAAAAUACUAGAGGAAGUCCAGGACAUUCAUUUGACUUUGUAGCUCUUUUUGUAAUUACACACCCAAUGA